rnacentral:rRNA from 1 species
UACGGGGGGGGCAAGCGUUGUUCGGAAUUACUGGGCGUAAAGGGCUCGUAGGCGGCCAACUAAGUCAGACGUGAAAUCCCUCGGCUUAACCGGGGAACUGCGUCUGAUACUGGAUGGCUUGAGAUUGGGAGGGGGAUGCGGAAUUCCAGGUGUAGCGGUGAAAUGCGUAGAUAUCUGGAGGAACACCGGUGGCGAAGGCGGCAUCCUGGACCAACACUGACGCUGAGGAGCGAAAGCCAGGGGAGCAAACGGG